GGCGGAGCCGCAGCGAAAGCGAGUCUGAACAGGGCGCAUGAGUAUGAGGUCGCAGACCCGAAACCAGGUGAUCUACCCAUGUCCAGGGUGAAGGUAAGGUAACACUUACUGGAGGCCCGAACCCACGCACGUUGAAAAGUGCGGGGAUGAGGUGUGGGUAGCGGUGAAAUUCCAAUCGAACCUGGAGAUAGCUGGUUCUCUCCGAAAUAGCUUUAGGGCUAGCCUCAAGGGAAGAGUCUUGGAGGUAGAGCACUGUUUGGACUAGGGGCCCCUCUCGGGUUACCGAAUUCAGACAAACUCCGAAUGCCAAAGACUUAUCCUUGGGAGUCAGACUGCGAGUGAUAAGAUCCGUAGUCAAGAGGGAAACAGCCCAGACCGCCAGCUAAGGUCCCCAAGUAUACGUUAAGUGGAAAAGGAUGUGGAGCUGCUUAGACAACCAGGAUGUUGGCUUAGAAGCAGCCAUCAUUGAAAGAGUGCGUAAUAGCUCACUGGUCGAGUGGCUCUGCGCCGAAAAUGUAACGGGGCUAAACGUAUCACCGAAGCUGCGGAUGGACACCUUAUGGUGUCCGUGGUAGGAGAGCGUUCUAAGGGCGGUGAAGCCAGACCGGGAGGACUGGUGGAGCGCUUAGAAGUGAGAAUGCCGGUAUGAGUAGCGAAAGAAGGGUGAGAAUCCCUUCCACCGAAUGCCUAAGGUUUCCUGAGGAAGGCUCGUCCUCUCAGGGUUAGUCGGGACCUAAGCCGAGGCCGAAAGGCGUAGGCGAUGGAUAACAGGUUGAUAUUCCUGUACCACCUCACUCCGUUUGAGCGAUGGGGGGACGCAGGAGGAUAGGGUAAGCGCACAGCUGGUUGUGCGUCCAAGCAGUUAGGCCGGUGACGAGGCAAAUCCCGUCACCAUCAAGGCGGAGCUGUGACGGCGAGGGAAAGAUAGUACCGAAGUUCCUGAUUCCACACUGCCAAGAAAAGCCUCUAGCGAGGAGACAGGUGCCCGUACCGCAAACCGACACAGGUAGGCGAGGAGAGAAUCCUAAGGUGAGCGAGUGAACUCUCGUUAAGGAACUCGGCAAAAUGACCCCGUAACUUCGGGAGAAGGGGUGCUCUUUGGGGUGCAUAGCCCUGAGGAGCCGCAGUGAAUAGGCCCAGGCGACUGUUUAGCAAAAACACAGGUCUCUGCGAAGCCGCAAGGCGAAGUAUAGGGGCUGACGCCUGCCCGGUGCUGGAAGGUUAAGAGGAGGGGUUAGCUUACGCGAAGCUCUGAAUUGAAGCCCCAGUAAACGGCGGCCGUAACUAUAACGGUCCUAAGGUAGCGAAAUUCCUUGUCGGGUAAGUUCCGACCCGCACGAAAGGCGUAACGAUCUGGGCACUGUCUCAACGAGAGACUCGGUGAAAUUAUAGUACCUGUGAAGAUGCAGGUUACCCGCGACAGGACGGAAAGACCCCGUGGAGCUUUACUGCAGCCUGAUAUUGAAUUUCGGCACAGCUUGUACAGGAUAGGUAGGAGCCUUUGAAACCGGAGCGCCAGCUUCGGUGGAGGCGUCGGUGGGAUACUACCCUGGCUGUGUUGAACUUCUAACCCGCACCCGUGAUCCGGGUGGGAGACAGUGUCAGGCAGGCAGUUUGACUGGGGCGGUCGCCUCCUAAAGAGUAACGGAGGCGCCCAAAGGUUCCCUCAGAAUGGUUGGAAAUCAUUCGCAGAGUGUAAAGGCACAAGGGAGCUUGACUGCGAGACCUACAAGUCGAGCAGGGACGAAAGUCGGGCUUAGUGAUCCGGUGGUUCCGCAUGGAAGGGCCAUCGCUCAACGGAUAAAAGCUACCCCGGGGAUAACAGGCUUAUCUCCCCCAAGAGUCCACAUCGACGGGGAGGUUUGGCACCUCGAUGUCGGCUCAUCGCAUCCUGGGGCUGUAGUCGGUCCCAAGGGUUGGGCUGUUCGCCCAUUAAAGCGGUACGCGAGCUGGGUUCAGAACGUCGUGAGACAGUUCGGUCCCUAUCCGUCGCGGGCGCAGGAAAUUUGAGAGGAGCUGUCCUUAGUACGAGAGGACCGGGAUGGACGCACCGCUGGUGUACCAGUUGUCUUGCCAAAGGCAUCGCUGGGUAGCUAUGUGCGGACGGGAUAAGUGCUGAAAGCAUCUAAGCAUGAAGCCCCCCUCAAGAUGAGAUUUCCCAUAGCGUCAAGCUAGUAAGAUCCCUGAAAGAUGAUCAGGUAGAUAGGUUCGAGGUGGAAGCGUGGCGACACGUGGAGCUGACGAAUACUAAUCGAUCGAGGACUUAUCCUA
rfam:Bacillaceae bacterium MTCC 8252 Contig87, whole genome shotgun sequence.